GCAGCCGUAGCUCAGUUGGAUUAGAGCACCUCCCUGCGAAGGAGGGGGUCGUGGGUUCAAGUCCCGCCGGUUGUACCA
rnacentral:tRNA from 1 species